rnacentral:tRNA from 2 species
GCCGAGGUGGCGGAAUUGGUAGACGCGCAUGGUUCAGGUCCAUGUGAGGGAAACCUUGUGGAGGUUCAAAUCCUCUCCUCGGCACCA